UGAACAUCUCAAUAUCAUUUGGAGUUGGGCUUUAUUGUUGUGACACUAACACAACUGGCCCGAAAUUUUAUUUCAAAGCAAAUGCAAGAACAUGUGGAUGCUUUGUUGCAAAAGACGAAAAGCUAAUUAGUUGACUGUGGUCAAACUUGCUGACUAGUCUUUCAAAACUAAGCUUGCCUACAUUCACA
rnacentral:misc_RNA from 1 species